rnacentral:misc_RNA from 1 species
AGUGACAAAUAUAGGGGUAGGCUGGGGAAUGCUUUUUUAGUUAAUAAGGUAGGACAGGCAGAAAGGCGACACAUGACUACAGGUCUGUACAUGGUGUGCG